UCACUAUUAUGUUGGAUCCACUAUGGACCGGACUCUCACUAUUAUGUUAGAUCCACUAUGGACCGGACUCUCACUAUUAUGUUAGAUCCACUAUGGACCGGACUCUCACUAUUAUGUUAGAUCCACUAUGGACUGGACUCUCACUAUUAUAUUAGAUCUCCUAUGGACUGGACUCUCACUAUUAUGUUAGAUCCACUAUGGACUGGACUCUCACACUGUUAUAUUAGAUCCACUAUGGACUGGACACCCACUAUUAUGUUAGAUCCACCAUAGACUGAUCUCUCACUAUUAUGUUAGAUCCACUAUGGACUGGACUCUCACUAUUAUGUUAAAUCCACUAUGGACUGGACUCUCACACUAUUAUGUUAGAUCCACUAUGGACUGGACUCUCACUAUUAUGUUAGAUCCACUAUGGACUGGACUCUCACUAUUAUGUUAAAUCCACUAUGGACUGGACUCUCACACUAUUAUGUUAAAUCCACUUUGGACUGGACUCACUAUUAUGUGAUCCACUAUGGACUGGACUCCCACUCUUAUGUUAGAUCCACUAUGGACUGGACUCUCACUAUUAUGUUGGAUCCACUAUGGACUGGACUUUCACAAUAUUAUGCUAGACCCGCUUGACAUCCAUUGUAUCUGGUCUCCCCUAGAGGGGGGGUUACCCACAUCUGCAGUCCUCUCCAAGGUUUCUCAUAAUCAUUCACAUUGACAUUCCACUGAGUUCUGAGUUUUUUUCUUGGCCUUAUGUGGGAUCUGAACCGAGGAUGUCGUUGUGGCUUUGGCAGCCCUUUGAGACACUUGUGAUUCAGGGCUAUAUGAAUAAACAUUGAUUGAUGGAUUGAUGUGGUCAGUGAUCAUAUCAAAACAUUAUAUUUUAUGACAUAAUUACAGUUAGACAUUAAAAGAAGGUAUUUGUGGUAAUAGUUGUUGUACGUAAUGAAGCCGCUUGAUGGCGCGCUAGGACUAUGUGUGCGGCUGACUGCUCUAGUAAAUGUAUAGAUAGAGUGAAGAAGAAGAAACCAGCGGGUGUCCGUCAUUAAUAUUAGUCAAUAAUUCAGUGACAUAUCCGGCAUGUUUUCACGGGAUAAUGUCACUUUUUCUCACUGUGGCUGGACUUUAGGCCCCGGAGAUACUUAAUACAUUUGUUGUUUGCUGACGGCGACGGCAGACCUUCAAAGUAGGAUCUAUCACAUGCCUGCGUUUCACCAAUCAAAUGCAGUCACUGUUUCAGCGGCAAACAACAACAAUUGCAGAUAGGACGACGAACCGGAAGAGGAAGAACAGCCCUGGCCUCACGUACAAGCCAUGUUCACGCUUCCGACAUUUCAGCUGACAUGAAGUCCACACAAGACCUGCCCACAGUUGGUCCAGGAUCAGCGACAUGUCAGCAGAAACUUCCAACACCUUCUUCCUUACCUUCCUGGUCUCAAGUUCUGCAGGUUCUGGAGUGGGGGUUUUGACAGAGGGGGGCACAAUGGGUGACUUCACCGUCUCCUGUUGAGGCUGCUGUGGGCACGGAAUUCCAAAGGCAGUCAGAGGAUAGAUCCCGUUCCUGACACGCCAAAGAGGAAAAAGGUGGAAUUGAAGUGGAAGAUUUUUACAAACAGCAGAACUUUAGACAUGUCUUCUUCUCAAACAGGAGCACUUUGAAAUAUACAUACAGUACAGGUCAAACCUUCUCAUUUCAAUGUCUUUUCUUUACUUUCAUGACUACCGCUCGGUAUUGCGACCAAAGUUAUUUAUACUCUACCUAAAUGAUAUUUGUUCAGUAUCUAAUAAAUUGAAAUGUAUUAUGUUUGCAGAUGAUACAAAUGUAUAUUGUUCAGGAGAAGACUUGAAGGAAGUGUUGAGGAUAGUGGAGGUUGAGUUAAUUCAACUAAAAAAAUGGUUAAAUCAUUAAAUGAUAAGAAAACUAAAUUUAUGGUGUUUAGUGGUGCAAGGACAAAUUGUGAAGCAAAAUUAAAGUUAAAUCAUGUGGAAAUUGAUAGAGUAUAUGAAACUAAAUUCUUGGGAAUAAUAAUUGAUCAUAAACUGUUGGAAACCGCAUAUUGAAUAUAUAAAAGGAAAAAUAUCCAAAUCUAUUGCUAUUCUUUAUAAAGUAAGACACAUGCUGAAUAAGACAUGCCUGCAUAUGUUGUAUUAUUCUUUUAUUUUUCCAUACUUAACGUAUUGUGUUGAAAUUUGGGGAAAUGUUUAUAAAACAAACAUAGACCCAAUAAUAAAACUUCAAAAAAGGGUCAUUAGAAUAAUACACAAAGCCUGCUACUAUGAAAUUACCAAUCCAUUAUUUAUGAGUUCAAAUGUGUUAAAAUUUUCAGACAUUGUGUUUUUAAAAACAAUGGAAAUUAUGUUUCGAGUAAAGAACAACAGCCUUCCAGCUUGUAUUCUCAGGCUAUUUCAUUUAAGAGGAGGAAACUAUAAUUUACGGGGGAUAUCGAUUUUUGAAAUAGGUAAAGCGAGAACAAAUAUAAAAUACAAAUGUAUUACAGUUUUAGGAGUUAAAUGGUGGAACAAGCUCAGCGAUGAGCUGAAGACAUGCACUUCUUUGGUAAGGUUUAAGAAAACAUUGAAAGGUGAAAUAAUUGAAAAUUAUAAAAUAUAGUAACAAUUACUUUCAUCCCAUUCAUUUUUGAUUUAUUUAUUUUUUUAUGUUGAUGUUCCAGGCAAUCUAAUAUUCUGUGAAGGUAUAGGAUAGGCAAAUAUAAGCUUUGGCUUCAGCCUAUUCCUUUUUUGGUCAUUCUUUUUCUUUUCUUUCGUGUGUAAAUGUGCAUUAUUGUAUACAUAUAACAUGUACUGUAAAACUGAUCACACAAAAUGGUUGAUUGAUUUGAUUUGAUUGAUUAUAUGACCGAAAUAAACUUAUUUCAUUCAUUCAUUUAAAAUUAUUUAAUCACAUAUAUUAUACACACUUACUGUAAUUGAACACCAACAUAAUACUCAAAUAUUCCCCACCUUGUAGGAUGAAUUAAAUUCUAUUACCUCCACAAAAGAGGAUACGUUUUCGCCAGGAUUUGUUUGUCUGUAAGCAACG